rnacentral:tRNA from 1 species
UAGAGGAAUAGGAAUUGAACCUAUAAUUAAGAGAUCAAAACUCUCCGUAAUUCCUUUUUACUACCCCCUA